UACAGAGGUGGCAAGCGUUGUUCGGAAUUACUGGGCGUAAAGGGCGCGUAGGCGGCCUUCUAAGUCAGACGUGAAAUCCCCCGGCUAACCUGGGAACUGCGUCUGAUACUGGGAGGCUUGAGUAUGGGAGAGGGAUGUAGAAUUCCAGGUGUAGCGGUGAAAUGCGUAGAUAUCUGGAGGAAUACCGGUGGCGAAGGCGGCAUCCUGGACCAUUACUGACGCUGAGGCGCGAAAGCUAGGGGAGCAAACGGG
rnacentral:rRNA from 1 species